rnacentral:piRNA from 1 species
AGACGAGAACUAUGGUGAAGGCUC